rnacentral:rRNA from 1 species
AGAGUUUGAUCCUGGCUCAGAACGAACGCUGGCGGCGUGGAUAAGACAUGCAAGUCGAACGAGAGAAUUGCUAGCUUGCUAAUAAUUCUCUAGUGGCGCACGGGUGAGUAACACGUGAGUAACCUGCCCCCGAGAGCGGGAUAGCCCUGGGAAACUGGGAUUAAUACCGCAUAGAAUCGCGAGAUUAAAGCAGCAAUGCGCUUGGGGAUGGGCUCGCGGCCUAUUAGUUAGUUGGUGAGGUAACGGCUCACCAAGGCGAUGACGGGUAGCCGGUCUGAGAGGAUGUCCGGCCACACUGGAACUGAGACACGGUCCAGACACCUACGGGUGGCAGCAGUCGAGAAUCAUUCACAAUGGGGGAAACCCUGAUGGUGCGACGCCGCGUGGGGGAAUGAAGGUCUUCGGAUUGUAAACCCCUGUCAUGUGGGAGCAAAUUAAAAAGAUAGUACCACAAGAGGAAGAGACGGCUAACUCUGUGCCAGCAGCCGCGGUAAUACAGAGGUCUCAAGCGUUGUUCGGAAUCACUGGGCGUAAAGCGUGCGUAGGCUGUUUCGUAAGUCGUGUGUGAAAGGCGCGGGCUCAACCCGCGGACGGCACAUGAUACUGCGAGACUAGAGUAAUGGAGGGGGAACCGGAAUUCUCGGUGUAGCAGUGAAAUGCGUAGAUAUCGAGAGGAACACUCGUGGCGAAGGCGGGUUCCUGGACAUUAACUGACGCUGAGGCACGAAGGCCAGGGGAGCGAAAGGGAUUAGAUACCCCUGUAGUCCUGGCAGUAAACGGUGCACGCUUGGUGUGCGGGGAAUCGACCCCCUGCGUGCCGGAGCUAACGCGUUAAGCGUGCCGCCUGGGGAGUACGGUCGCAAGAUUAAAACUCAAAGAAAUUGACGGGGACCCGCACAAGCGGUGGAGUAUGUGGCUUAAUUCGAUGCAACGCGAAGAACCUUACCUGGGCUUGACAUGUAAUGAACAACAUGUGAAAGCAUGCGACUCUUCGGAGGCGUUACACAGGUGCUGCAUGGCCGUCGUCAGCUCGUGUCGUGAGAUGUUUGGUUAAGUCCAGCAACGAGCGCAACCCCUGUUGCCAGUUACCAGCACGUGAAGGUGGGGACUCUGGCGAGACUGCCCAGAUCAACUGGGAGGAAGGUGGGGACGACGUCAGGUCAGUAUGGCCCUUAUGCCCAGGGCUGCACACGUACUACAAUGCCCAGUACAGAGGGGGCCGAAGCCGCGAGGCGGAGGAAAUCCUAAAAACUGGGCCCAGUUCGGACUGUAGGCUGCAACCCGCCUACACGAAGCCGGAAUCGCUAGUAAUGGCGCAUCAGCUACGGCGCCGUGAAUACGUUCCCGGGUCUUGCACACACCGCCCGUCA